GCCGCCUUAGCUCAGUCGGUCAGAGCGACGCACUCGUAAUGCGUAGGUCGGGGGUUCGACUCCCCCAGGCGGCUCCA
rnacentral:tRNA from 2 species